UUGGUUAAGUUAGAAAGGGCGCACGGUGGAUGCCUUGGCACUAGGAGCCGAAGAAGGACGGGACUAACACCGAUAUGCUUUGGGGAGCUGUACGUAAGCGUUGAUCCAGAGAUUUCCGAAUGGGGGAACCCACUAUCUUUAGUCGGAUAGUAUCCUUACGUGAAUACAUAGCGUGAGGAAGGCAGACCCAGGGAACUGAAACAUCUAAGUACCUGGAGGAAGAGAAAGAAAAAUCGAUUUCCUGAGUAGCGGCGAGCGAAAUGGAAAGAGCCCAAACCAAGAAGCUUGCUUCUUGGGGUUGUAGGACACUCUAUACGGAGUUACAAAAGAAAGUUAUAAAUGAAGCGGUCUGGAAAGGCCCGCCAAAGACGGUAACAGCCCGGUAGUUGAAAUGGCUUUCCCUCCAGAGUGGAUCCUGAGUACGGCGGAACACGUGAAAUUCCGUCGGAAUCCGGGAGGACCAUCUCCCAAGGCUAAAUACUCCCUAGUGACCGAUAGUGAACCAGUACCGUGAGGGAAAGGUGAAAAGCACCCCGGAAGGGGAGUGAAACAGUUCCUGAAACCGUGUGCCUACAAGUAGUUAGAGCCCGUUAAUGGGUGAUAGCGUGCCUUUUGUAGAAUGAACCGGCGAGUUACGAUUUGUUGCAAGGUUAAGCGGAAAAAGCGGAGCCGUAGCGAAAGCGAGUCUGAAUAGGGCGCAUAAGUAACAGGUCGUAGACCCGAAACCAGGUGAUCUACCCAUGUCCAGGAUGAAGGUAAGGUAAUACUUACUGGAGGUCCGAACCCACGCACGUUGAAAAGUGCGGGGAUGAGGUGUGGGUAGCGGAGAAAUUCCAAUCGAACUUGGAGAUAGCUGGUUCUCUCCGAAAUAGCUUUAGGGCUAGCCUCGAGGUAAAGAGUCAUGGAGGUAGAGCACUGUUUGGACUAGGGGCCCUUCUCGGGUUACCGAAUUCAGAUAAACUCCGAAUGCCAUGUACUUAUACUCGGGAGUCAGACUGCGAGUGAUAAGAUCCGUAGUCGAAAGGGAAACAGCCCAGACCACCAGUUAAGGUCCCCAAAUAUAUGUUAAGUGGAAAAGGAUGUGGGGUUGCUUAGACAACCAGGAUGUUGGCUUAGAAGCAGCCACCAUUGAAAGAGUGCGUAAUAGCUCACUGGUCGAGUGACCCCGCGCCGAAAAUGUACCGGGGCUAAACAUAUUACCGAAACUGUGGAUGAACCUCUUUAGAGGUUCGUGGUAGGAGAGCGUUCUAAGGGCGGUGAAGUCAGACCGGAAGGACUGGUGGAGCGCUUAGAAGUGAGAAUGCCGGUAUGAGUAGCGAAAGAAGGGUGAGAAUCCCUUCCACCGAAUAUCUAAGGUUUCCUGAGGAAGGCUCGUCCGCUCAGGGUUAGUCGGGACCUAAGCCGAGGCCGAUAGGCGUAGGCGAUGGACAACAGGUAGAGAUUCCUGUACCAGUGCUAAUUGUUUAACCGAUGGGGUGACACAGAAGGAUAGGGAAUCGCACGAAUGGAAAUGUGCGUCCAAGCAGUGAGUGUGAGAAGUAGGCAAAUCCGCUUCUCGCGAAGCAUGAGCUGUGAUGGGGAAGGAAAUUAAGUACGGAAGUUCCUGAUUUCACGCUGUCAAGAAAAGCCUCUAGGAAGAGUAGUACUGCCCGUACCGCAAACCGACACAGGUAGAUGAGGAGAGAAUCCUAAGGUGAGCGAGAGAACUCUCGUUAAGGAACUCGGCAAAAUGACCCCGUAACUUCGGGAGAAGGGGUGCUCUAUUAGGGUGCAAGCCCGAGAGAGCCGCAGUGAAUAGGCCCAGGCGACUGUUUAGCAAAAACACAGGUCUCUGCAAAACCGUAAGGUGACGUAUAGGGGCUGACGCCUGCCCGGUGCUGGAAGGUUAAGAGGAGUGCUUAGCUUCGGCGAAGGUACGAAUUGAAGCCCCAGUAAACGGCGGCCGUAACUAUAACGGUCCUAAGGUAGCGAAAUUCCUUGUCGGGUAAGUUCCGACCCGCACGAAAGGCGCAACGAUCUGGGCACUGUCUCAACGAGAGACUCGGUGAAAUUAUAGUACCUGUGAAGAUGCAGGUUACCCGCGACAGGACGGAAAGACCCCGUGGAGCUUUACUGCAACCUGAUAUGGAAUGUUUGUACCGCUUGUACAGGAUAGGUAGGAGCCGAAGAGACGUGUGCGCUAGCAUACGAGGAGGCAAUGGUGGGAUACUACCCUGGCUGUAUGACCAUUCUAACCCGCCACGCUUAGCGCGUGGGGAGACAGUGUCAGGUGGGCAGUUUGACUGGGGCGGUCGCCUCCUAAAGAGUAACGGAGGCGCCCAAAGGUUCCCUC
rnacentral:rRNA from 1 species